ACUCCUACGGGAGGCAGCAGUGGGAAUAUUGGACAAUGGGCGCAAGCCUGAUGCAGCCAUGCCGCGUGUGUGAAGAAGGCCUUCGGGUUGUAAAAGCACUUUCAGUGUGAGGAAAGGUUAGUCGCUAAUAUCGGCUAGCUGUGACGUUAGCAACAGAAGAAGCACCGGCUAACUCCGUGCCAGCAGCCGCGGUAAUACGGAGGGUGCGAGCGUUAAUCGGAAUUACUGGGCGUAAAGCGCGUGUAGGUGGCUUGUUAAGCCAGAUGUGAAAGCCCCGGGCUCAACCUGGGAACUGCAUUUGGAACUGG
rnacentral:rRNA from 1 species